AGAGUUUGAUCCUGGCUCAGGAUGAACGCUGGCGGCGUGCUUAACACAUGCAAGUCGAGCGAAGCACUUUUGUUGAUUUCUUCGGAAUGAAGUGAAAGUGACUGAGCGGCGGACGGGUGAGUAACGCGUGGGGAACCUGCCCCAUACCGGGGGAUAACAGUUAGAAAUGACUGCUAAUACCGCAUAAGCGCACAGGGACGCAUGUUCUGGUGUGAAAAACUCCGGUGGUAUGGGAUGGACCCGCGUCUGAUUAGGUAGUUGGUGGGGUAACGGCCCACCAAGCCGACGAUCAGUAGCCGACCUGAGAGGGUGACCGGCCACAUUGGGACUGAGACACGGCCCAAACUCCUACGGGAGGCAGCAGUGGGGAAUAUUGCACAAUGGGGGAAACCCUGAUGCAGCGACGCCGCGUGAAGGAAGAAGUAUUUCGGUAUGUAAACUUCUAUCAGCAGGGAAGAAAAUGACGGUACCUGACUAAGAAGCCCCGGCUAACUACGUGCCAGCAGCCGCGGU
rnacentral:rRNA from 1 species